rnacentral:rRNA from 1 species
UACGUAGGGUGCAAGCGUUGUCCGGAAUUAUUGGGCGUAAAGAGCUCGUAGGCGGUCUGUCGCGUCGAAUGUGAAAACCCGGGGCUCAACCCCGGGCCUGCAUUCGAUACGGGCAGACUAGAGUUCGGUAGGGGAGUCUGGAAUUCCUGGUGUAGCGGUGAAAUGCGCAGAUAUCAGGAGGAACACCGGUGGCGAAGGCGGCAUCCUGGACCAACACUGACGCUGAGGAGCGAAAGCCAGGGGAGCAAACGGG